rnacentral:tRNA from 1 species
GGGCGCGUAGCUCAGUCGGUUAGAGCGCGUCACUGAUAAUGACGAGGUCCUUGGUCCGAUUCCAAGCGCGCCCACAA